rnacentral:rRNA from 1 species
AACAUCUUUUCUUGUUAGUUUUUGAAGUAUGGCCUGCCCGCUGACGUAUUUUGAGUUGAAGGGCCGCGGUAUUUUGACCGUGCAAAGGUAGCAUAGUCAUUAGUUCUUUAAUUGUGAUCUGGUAUGAAUGGCUUGACGAGACAUGGGCUGUCUUGGCAUGGAUUUAUUGUUGAAUUUAGAGUUUAAGUUAAAAUUCUUAGAUGUUUUUAUGGGACGAGAAGACCCUAUAGAGUUUGACAUUUGGUUGCGUAUUUCUUAUUGUUUGUUUUAAAUUUUUGCGUGUCUUUUGUUUUGUUGGGGUGAUGGGAGGAAUUUAUUUAACUCCUCUUUUUGUGUGAUAUAUUGAUUUAUGUUUGUUUUGAUCCAUUUAUUUUGAUUGUAAGAUUAAAUUACCUUAGGGAUAACAGCGUUAUCUUCCCUGAGAGUUCUUAUUGGCGGGGGGGUUUGCGACCUCGAUGUUGGAUUAAGGUUAAUUUUUGGUGUAGGAGC